AGAGUUUGAUCCUGGCUCAGGACGAACGCUGGCGGCGUGCUUAACACAUGCAAGUCGAACGGAGAGCGAUGGAAGCUUGCUUCUAUCAAUCUUAGUGGCGAACGGGUGAGUAACGCGUAACCAACCUGCCCUUCAGAGGGGGAUAACAACGGGAAACCGUUGCUAAUACCGCGUACGAUUAAGCUUCGGCAUCGAAGCUUAAUGAAAGGUGGCCGCUAUAUAUAAGCUAUCGCUGAAGGAGGGGGUUGCGUCUGAUUAGCUAGUUGGAGGGGUAACGGCCCACCAAGGCAAUGAUCAGUAGCCGGUCUGAGAGGAUGAACGGCCACAUUGGGACUGAGACACGGCCCAAACUCCUACGGGAGGCAGCAGUGGGGAAUCUUCCGCAAUGGACGAAAGUCUGACGGAGCAACGCCGCGUGAGUGAUGACGGCCUUCGGGUUGUAAAGCUCUGUUAAUCGGGACGAAUGGUCUUUGUGUGAACAAUGCAAAGAUUUGACGGUACCGGAAUAGAAAGCCACGGCUAACUACGUGCCAGCAGCCGCGGUAAUACGUAGGUGGCAAGCGUUGUCCGGAAUUAUUGGGCGUAAAGCGCGCGCAGGCGGUUUUGCAAGUCUGUCUUAAAAGUUCGGGGCUCAACCCCGUGAUGGGAUGGAAACUGUGGAACUAGAGUAUCGGAGAGGAAAGCGGAAUUCCUAGUGUAGCGGUGAAAUGCGUAGAUAUUAGGAAGAACACCAGUGGCGAAGGCGGCUUUCUGGACGACAACUGACGCUGAGGCGCGAAAGCCAGGGGAGCGAACGGGAUUAGAUACCCCGGUAGUCUUGGCCGUAAACGAUGGGUACUAGGUGUAGGAAGAAUCGACCCCUUCUGUGCCGGAUUAACGCAAUAAGUACCCCG
rnacentral:rRNA from 1 species